GAUGAACGCUAGCGGGAGGCCUAACACAUGCAAGCCGAGCGGUAGAGCCUCUUCGGAAACUUGAGAGCGGCGCACGGGUGCGUAACACGUGUGCAACCUACCUUUAUCUGGGGGAUAGCCUUUCGAAAGGAAGAUUAAUACCCCAUAAUAUAAUGAUUGGCAUCAAUUAUUAUUGAAAACUCCGGUGGAUAGAGAUGGGCACGCGCAAGAUUAGAUAGUUGGUGAGGUAACGGCUCACCAAGUCAAUGAUCUUUAGGGGUCCUGAGAGGGAGAUCCCCCACACUGGUACUGGGACACGGACCAGACUCCUACGGGAGGCAGCAGUGAGGAAUACUGGACAGUGGGUGAGAGCCUGAUCCAGCCAUCCCGCGUGAAGGAUGGCGGUCCUAGGGAUUGUAAACUUCUUUUGUAAAGGGAUAAACCUACCCUCGUGAGGGUAGCUGAAGGUACUGGACGAAUAAGCACCGGCUAACUCCGUG
rnacentral:rRNA from 1 species